rnacentral:tRNA from 1 species
GUGGCAGUAGCUCAGUGGUAGAGCUCGACCUUCGUACGCGGGAAGACCCGGGUUCAAUUCCUGGCUGCUUUC